rnacentral:rRNA from 1 species
UACGUAGGCAGCAAGCGUUGUUCGGAAUUACUGGGCGUAAAGCGUGCGCAGGCGGUUUUGCAAGCCGGAUGUGAAAUCCCCGGGCUCAACCUGGGAAUGGCAUUCGGGACUGCAAGGCUGGAGUGCGGCAGAGGAGACUGGAAUUCCUGGUGUAGCAGUGAAAUGCGUAGAUAUCAGGAGGAAUACCGAUGGCGAAGGCAGGUCUCUGGGCUGACACUGACGCUCAUGCACGAAAGCGUGGGGAGCAAACAGG